rnacentral:lncRNA from 1 species
GCCCCUGUAAUAAUGUUGCUCUGCCAGCCCAAUACACGAGAGGGGGACUAUAUAAGAAUCAAUGAAGCUGUCACUAUCACGAACCACCCCACGAUCUGGCAUAUUGGGUACAAUCGCAGAUAAAUACGGUAUAAGCACCACAACUACACAAUAUCUAUCAUUUACCCAUGGAUCCGAUGGAUAAACGCUAUACGAUCCUAAGCAUGUAUAUAGAUCGAAUCUAACUAAGCCAAGUACAUAACUAUGAUAAACUAAGAACAAUAUAAUCUUGAAUAUAAGCAAGUAG